UACGUAGGGGGCAAGCGUUAUCCGGAUUUACUGGGUGUAAAGGGAGCGUAGACGGCAGGGCAAGUCUGAUGUGAAAGGUCGGGGCCCAACCCCGGGACUGCAUUGGAAACUGUCCGGCUGGAGUACAGGAGAGGUAAGUGGAAUUCCUAGUGUAGCGGUGAAAUGCGUAGAUAUUAGGAGGAACACCAGUGGCGAAGGCGGCUUACUGGACUGUAACUGACGUUGAGGCUCGAAAGCGUGGGGAGCAAACAGG
rnacentral:rRNA from 1 species